UACGAAGGGGGCUAGCGUUGCUCGGAAUUACUGGGCGUAAAGCGCACGUAGGCGGCCUUGUAAGUCGGAUGUGAAAUCCCGCGGCUCAACCGUGGAAGUGCAUCCGAAACUGCGAGGCUCGAGUAUGGAAGAGGGUCGCAGAAUUCCCGGUGUAGAGGUGAAAUUCGUAGAUAUCGGGAGGAAUACCAGUGGCGAAGGCGGCGACCUGGGCCAAUACUGACGCUGAGGUGCGAAAGCGUGGGGAGCAAACAGG
rnacentral:rRNA from 1 species